AUAUCAGUCAUGCAUAGCAUAUCAAUAAGCGGAGGAAAAGAAACUAACAAGGAUUCCCCUAGUAACGGCGAGCGAAGCGGGAAGAGCUCAAAUUUGAAAUCUUAAAGGGUUUCCCUUGACGAAUUGUAGUUUAAAGAAGUGUUUUCUGUAGUGGAGUUUCGGUAAAAGUUCUUUGGAAAUAGGACAUCAUAGAGGGUGAGAAUCCCGUAUUUGGUCAUUCCUCCUAGCUUUGUGAUACACUUUCAACGAGUCGGAUUGUUUGGGAAUGCAGUCCAAAAUGGGUGGUAAAUUUCAUCUAAAGCUAAAUAUUGGCGAGAGACCGAUAGCGAACAAGUACCGUGAGGGAAAGAUGAAAAGAACUUUGAAAAGAGAGUUAAACAGUACGUGAAAUUGUCAAAAGGGAAGCGUUUGACACCAGUGUUGUUUUUCCGAAAAUCAAUUACGAAUGUUUUAUUUUUGAGGAGUUAUGACUUCAUCGGCUUGCUUCUCUCUUUAUGAAACUUUCUUAAUGCACUUUUCGGUUAACAAGUCAACAUCAAUUUCUUUUGUUGUAAAAGGGUAUGAGGAAGGUGGCUUUCUUUUCGGAGAAAGUGUUUAUAGCCUUGUAGCCUCUGCAAUCGGAGAGAUUGAGGUCUGCAGCGUAGAUCCUUCGGGGUUAGAUACAUUUGUGCUAAGUUAUAGCUUUUCAUAGACAACAUUGUUGACUAUGAUUAAGUCUAUGUAGCUUACUCGCUUAUGCUAUUUUACCUACGCUUAGGAUGUUGAUCUCUCACAGUCGAGC
rnacentral:rRNA from 1 species